UAACCACGACAAUCUUACCACUUCUUGCAUAUUAUUAAUAUAUUAUAUAAUAUAUUUAAUAAUACAGGUGUUGCAUGGCUGUCUUUAGUUCGUGUUGUGAAAUGUGAGGUUAAUUCCGUUAACGAACGCAAUCCUUUUCUUUAGUUUUGUUAUUAUUAUUAUUAUUAUUUUUAAUUAAUUAGACUUAAAGAAGUAUCUUUCGAUAGGAAGGAAUAAUUAGGAUUAAGACAAGUCUUCAUGACCCUUAGGAAGUGGGCUACGGACGUGCCACAAAAAUUUCUACAAGAGGAUGCGAAGAUGUAUGUAAGUCAGAGCUAGACCAUGAAAGGAAAUUAGGGUACGGAUAAGAAUCUGAAACCGUNUCUUUAAACCCAUUCCCAGAUUAUUAUUAUUAUUAUUUAUAAAUACUUAGACAUAUAGAAUUAUCUUUCAAUGAGAAGGAAUAAUUAAGAUUAAUACUCGUCAUCCUGACCCUUAGGAAGAGGGAUACGCACCUGCCACUUCAAUUUCUACAAGAGGAUGCGUAUAUGUAUGUAAGUCAGAGCUAGACCGGGAAUUGAAGUUCGGGUACGGAUCAGAAUCUGAAACUCUGUUACAAUUACCCACUUCCCAA
rnacentral:rRNA from 1 species